GCUGGGAUUACACGCAUGAGCCACCACGGCUGGCCCAGGCACAGGUUUUUGUUUCUGUCUUUUGAGCAGGGCUGCAUUGUGACUUUUGUGGCCCUAGACGCUUCUGCCUUCAUGGGCCCCUCCUACAAGAAUAGAUUUUCAUGGGUCGUAAAUAUUCUAUUUGUUUCUGAUGAAAGAAGAAAAUGAAACAUAUUUGUCUAACCUAAAAGUUUCUGUUUUCCCUGAUUUUGAAGGACAUGAGAACAUUCUGUGGGUCUGGAAAAUGUUGUGGACCCUGCGUUGCUACAGUGCCUAAUGGAGAAGUUGGCACUGGUGUUGUGGAAAGAACAAAUAGCAUACGGAGCUCAGGCCUCCUGCUUCGAGGCUGAGGAAGGAUGUGGGACACUCCCCUUCUCUUCCUCCCUCAGUGCCUCCCCAACCCCCGGGUGCCCUUGGAGAUAAGAAGAGUGACAAUGAUGAUCUCACUGAGCCUUUACUACGUCCAAAGUGGGCUACUACACACCCUGUUUCAUUUACUCCCCACGGAGACUCUGUGAGGUUGGGACUAUUAUUCUUUCUACUUUGUAGGAGAGCCGAGAGGAAGCCAGGAGUGGAGUCUUCAGCUGUCUCUGUCCUCUGUGGAUAUCCCCCUGCUCCCAUCUGUGAGGACUGGCCUGUGCUUUGUUUCUAUUGGAGGAAGAGGUACCCUGCUAUGGACUGAAUGGGUCCCCCCAAAUUUCUAUGUUGAAGACUAAAUUUUCAAUGUGAUGGUAUUAAGAGGCAGGGCUUUAGGGCAGUAGUUAGGACAUGAGAAAAAUAUCCUACUGGGAUUCACUCCGCCUUAUGAAGGGAUGAAGACACCAGAGCUCUCUCUUUGAGGGUACAAGAGAGAUACCGGACUUCUAGCCUCCAGCAAUGUGAGAAAUAAAUGCUUAUUGUUUAAACCCA